GAGCCACAGAGCCACCGCUCCGCCCCGUUUUAUUUUGUAAUUCCAAUGUACUUGUACAUACGGCAGUGAACUACUCUACUCACCUCCCCCAGCUCACUGGUCGGCGAUGUGUGGACCCGUCGCCGACGGCGAUGAGUGCGUGAACUCGUUCGGCCUGGCGAUUAUCUCACGGCCUGUCCACCCCCCCUGCGGAGACCGGCGAUGAGCUCACACACACCCCCUCCUGGACUGGCGGGAAGCACUUGUGUACCCCAGCUUGCUCUCCAUGAGACACACAGACAGGGGCCCCUGGAGAAAUUGGGGUUCAGGGCUUUGCUCAGGGGCCCAACGGAGUAGGAUUCCUCUGCUGGCCGCGGGAUUUGAACCGGCAA